rnacentral:rRNA from 1 species
UACGGAGGGGGCGAGCGUUAUUCGGAAUCAUUGGGCGUAAAGGGCGCGUAGGCGGCCCCGUAAGUCUUGGGUGAAAGCCCUCGGCUCAACCGAGGAAUUGCCUUGGAUACUGCGGGGCUCGAGGCUGGAAGAGGGUCGCGGAAUUCCCGGUGUAGAGGUGAAAUUCGUAGAUAUCGGGAGGAACACCAGUGGCGAAGGCGGCGACCUGGGCAGAUACUGACGCUGAGGUGCGAAAGCGUGGGGAGCGAACAGG